UUUUGAAUUGUAACUCGAAGGGAAAAAUCGAAAUGAAAAAAAAAGAAGAAUAUAUAUAAGAAGAUGUGGUAUUAGUGCUACGAGACAACUCUCCGUCAAAUUUACAAUUUGUAAAAGGUCAAAGUACAGUCUUCAACACGGAGCCUUGGCUAAUACAGAACAGCAAACUAUAAGGGGUACAUUAAAAUAUUUUUCAAAUGUAUAUUUUUCAAAUCAAAUAUCGAAAAAA
rnacentral:lncRNA from 1 species